UAGGGAAUCUUCGGCAAUGGGGGCAACCCCUGACCGAGCAACGCCGCGUGAGUGAAGAAGGUUUUCGGAUCGUAAAACUCUGUUGUUAGAGAAGAACACGAGUGAGAGUAACUGUUCAUUCGAUGACGGUAUCUAACCAGCAAGUCACGGCUAACUACGUGCCAG
rnacentral:rRNA from 1 species